AAAAUAUCUUUAAAAUUGUAUAAUUGAGAAGUGUCAGUAAAUUGAAUUUGUGUCUUGUUGACUCAACGGACUAAAAUAAUUGAUAUAAAUAAGUCUGUGACUGUGUCUUCUGACCAACUAAACCAUCGUGGAAUAAAUGUGUCAGUAAAUUGAAUUUGUGUCUUGUUGACUCAACGAACUAAAAUAAUUGUAAGAACUAAUGAGCUUGUCAAAAUAUCCUUAAAAGAAUAUAAAUGAGAGGUGUCAUCAAAUUGAUUGGAUCUUCUUGAUUCUAAGAUCUAAUAGGUUAAAUCUGAAAUUAUCUGAUGUUUUCCACUUAUCAUUAAUAAGAUUUAUGCAAGCAGAAGCAGUGAAGGUCAUUGGGUAAACACCCAAUGGAUAUUAAAACGAAAUUUGGAUGUAUACCUGGCAUAUCUUGACACGGUGAAGGACAUGAUGUAUUGGGGUAUAUUGGGCAAAUAUUUACAGUGAAUAUGAAAGAUGAUAAGAAAAUGUCAAAGCAAAUUUAACACUAAAUUAUACUCUAAAAACUAUAA